rnacentral:rRNA from 1 species
UAGUCCACGCUGUAAACGAUGUCGAUUUGAAGGUUGUUCCCUUGAGGAGUGGCUUUCGGAGCUAACGCGUUAAAUCGACCGCCUGGGGAGUACGGCCGCAAGGUUAAAACUCAAAUGAAUUGACGGGGGCCCGCACAAGCGGUGGAGCAUGUGGUUUAAUUCGAUGCAACGCGAAGAACCUUACCUACUCUUGACAUCCAGAGAAUUUAGCAGAGAUGCUUUAGUGCCUUCGGGAACUCUGAGACAGGUGCUGCAUGGCUGUCGUCAGCUCGUGUUGUGAAAUGUUGGGUUAAGUCCCGCAACGAGCGCAACCCUUAUCCUUUGUUGCCAGCGAUUCGGUCGGGAACUCAAAGGAGACUGCCGGUGAUAAACCGGAGGAAGGUGGGGAUGACGUCAAGUCAUCAUGGCCCUUACGAGUAGGGCUACACACGUGCUACAAUGGCGUAUACAAAGAGAAGCGACCUCGCGAGAGCAAGCGGAACUCAUAAAGUGCGUCGUAGUCCGGAUUGGAGUCUGCAACUCGACUCCAUGAAGUCGGAAUCGCUAGUAAUCGUAGAUCAGAAUGCUACGGUGAAUACGUUCCCGGGCCUUGUACACACCGCCCGUCACACCAUGGGAGUGGGUUGCAAAAGAAGUAGGUAGCUUAACCUUCGGGAGGGCGCUUACCACUUUGUGAUUCAUGACUGGG